rnacentral:rRNA from 1 species
AUAGCGUAUAUUAAAGUUGUUGCGGUUAAAAAGCUCGUAGUUGAAUCUGUGUCCCACGCUGUCGGUUCGUCGCUCGCGGCGUUUAACUGGCAUGAUUGUGGGACGUCCUACCGGUGGGCUUAGCCCCUCGGGGCGGCCCAACUAAUAUCCCAUCGCGGUGCUCUUCACUGAGUGUCGAGGUGGGCCGGUACGUUUACUUUGAACAAAUUAGAGUGCUUAAAGCAGGCUAUCUUCGCCUGAAUACUGUGUGCAUGGAAUAAUGGAAUAGGACCUCGGUUCUAUUUUGUUGGUUUUAGGAACCCCGAGGUAAUGAUUAAUAGGAACAGAUGGGGGCAUUCGUAUUGCGACGUUAGAGGUGAAAUUCUUGGAUCGUCGCAAGACGGACAGAAGCGAAAGCAUUUGCCAAAAAUGUUUUCUUUAAUCAAGAACGAAAGUUAGAGGUUCGAAGGCGAUCAGAUACCGCCCUAGUUCUAACCAUAAACGAUGCCAGCUAGCGAUCCGCCGAAGUUCCUCCGAUGACUCGGCGGGCAGCUUCCGGGAAACCAAAGCUUUUGGGUUCCGGGGGAAGUAUGGUUGCAAAGCUGAAACUUAAAGGAAUUGACGGAAGGGCACCACCAGGAGUGGAGCCUGCGGCUUAAUUUGACUCAACACGGGAAACCUCACCAGGCCCGGACACCGGAAGGAUUGACAGAUUGAUAGCUCUUUCUUGAUUCGGUGGGUGGUGGUGCAUGGCCGUUCUUAGUUGGUGGAGCGAUUUGUCUGGUUAAUUCCGAUAACGAACGAGACUCUAGCCUGCUAAAUAGGCGUACUUUCCGGUAUCUCGAAGGCCCCCGGCCUCGGUCGGGCGGUUUUUACUACCGGCGUACAAAUAAAUCUUCUUAGAGGGACAGGCGGCUUCUAGCCGCACGAGAUUGA